rnacentral:rRNA from 1 species
ACGAAGGGGGCUAGCGUUGCUCGGAAUUACUGGGCGUAAAGGGAGCGUAGGCGGACAUUUAAGUCAGAGGUGAAAUCCCGGAGCUUAACUUCGGAACUGCCUUUGAUACUGGGUGUCUUGAGUGUGAGAGAGGUAUGUGGAACUCCGAGUGUAGAGGUGAAAUUCGUAGAUAUUCGGAAGAACACCAGUGGCGAAGGCGACAUACUGGCUCAUUACUGACGCUGAGGCUCGAAAGCGUGGGGAGCAAACAGG